rnacentral:rRNA from 1 species
GAUGAACGCUGGCGGCGUGCCUAAUACAUGCAAGUCGAGCGAACAGACGAGGAGCUUGCUCCUCUGAUGUUAGCGGCGGACGGGUGAGUAACACGUGGAUAACCUACCUAUAAGACUGGGAUAACUUCGAGAAACCGGAGCUAAUACCGGAUAACAUGUUGAACCGCAUGGUUCAACAGUGAAAGACGGUCUUGCUGUCACUUAUAGAUGGAUCCGCGCCGCAUUAGCUAGUUGGUAAGGUAACGGCUUACCAAGGCAACGAUGCGUAGCCGACCUGAGAGGGUGAUCGGCCACACUGGAACUGAGACACGGUCCAGACUCCUACGGGAGGCAGCAGUAGGGAAUCUUCCGCAAUGGGCGAAAGCCUGACGGAGCAACGCCGCGUGAGUGAAGAAGGUCUUCGGAUCGUAAAACUCUGUUAUUAGGGAAGAACAAAUGUGUAAGUAACUAUGCACGUCUUGACGGUACCUAAUCAGAAAGCCACGGCUAACUACGUG